rnacentral:lncRNA from 1 species
CCAGGCCCCUUAUGUAGACCAUCACAUUCUUACAUGCCAGGCAGACAAAGGCCAGAGCUGCAUUUAAAGAUCAGACAGAGGCAAAGGUGGCAAGUACUUGGAGGAGUUCCAGUUACCCGUGGUCAACUGAAGUUUGAAGUUCAGAGGCAGAUAACCCUCCUGGAGAAUCUGGAGAAGGUCGAAAGUGGUCCAAUGCUAUGUCAUAGUGCCUGCAUCGCUGACCUCUCUUUGUCUCAUCAUGGAGGCAUUUCGUCAUUUCCCUUGAUCACAGAAAGAAAGGGCGACAGAUGA